ACUUAUUCUUUUAACUUCGUAUUU
rnacentral:piRNA from 1 species